UUUUGGAUUGGGAAAUCAUGGACGAUAUCAUGGAAAGUUUAGGACCCAAAGUAGACGUUCAGACAAGAUAAGAUUCAUAGUUCAACAAGUUCGUCGGUUGCACCGGAAAAACAAAAGACAUCACCAGCAUCACCACGACAUGCUAAGAAAAAAACACCUGCACCACCACCCCCUGUGAAGGAAUGUGCAACGCCGUCAAAUCAUCCAAAAAAUAGCAUAUGAGAAAUUAUUCUUGAAACAAUUUAAUUUGACGCAAAAAUACUGCUAUUUUAGUGAUUGUGAUCAUACAGUUUACUUUUCUAAGAGAAAUAACUCUAUAGCAUCACCUAUUUUCCCAUGUUGAGUUGUAACCCCUGUAUUGUAUGUGACGCCACUAACGGUUUGAAUAAAUGUCUUAAAUG
rnacentral:sRNA from 1 species